rnacentral:snRNA from 1 species
GCACUCUGUUUGGCAGUAUAUAUACUCAAAUUGGAGUGAUACAGAGAAGACUAGCAUGAUACCACACAAAGAAGGCACAUAAUUUAUGAUCACUCUGCAUUUUU